AGAGUUUGAUCCUGGCUCAGAUUGAACGCUGGCGGAAUGCUUUACACAUGCAAGUCGAACGGCAGCAUAGGUGCUUGCACCUGAUGGCGAGUGGCGAACGGGUGAGUAAUACAUCGGAACGUGCCCAGUCGUGGGGGAUAACGUAGCGAAAGUUACGCUAAUACCGCAUACGAUCUAAGGAUGAAAGCGGGGGACCGUAAGGCCUCGCGCGAUUGGAGCGGCCGAUGUCAGAUUAGGUAGUUGGUGGGGUAAAGGCUCACCAAGCCGACGAUCUGUAGCUGGUCUGAGAGGACGACCAGCCACACUGGGACUGAGACACGGCCCAGACUCCUACGGGAGGCAGCAGUGGGGAAUUUUGGACAAUGGGCGCAAGCCUGAUCCAGCCAUUCCGCGUGCAGGACGAAGGCCUUCGGGUUGUAAACUGCUUUUGUACGGAGCGAAAAGCCUUGGGUUAAUACCUCGAGGUCAUGACGGUACCGUAAGAAUAAGCACCGGCUAACUACGUGCCAGCAGCCGCGGUAAU
rnacentral:rRNA from 1 species